rnacentral:rRNA from 1 species
GACGUAGGGCGCGAGCGUUGUCCGGAUUUAUUGGGCGUAAAGAGCUCGUAGGCGGCUUGUCGCGUCGACUGUGAAAACCCGCGGCUCAACUGCGGGCUUGCAGUCGAUACGGGCAGGCUAGAGUUCGGUAGGGGAGACUGGAAUUCCUGGUGUAGCGGUGAAAUGCGCAGAUAUCGGGAGGAACACCAGUGGCGAAGGCGGCUACCUGGCCCACUCUUGACGCUGAGGCGCGAAAGCUAGGGGAGCAAACGGG